rnacentral:rRNA from 1 species
GACGAACGCUGGCGGCGUGCUUAACACAUGCAAGUCGAACGAAGAGCGAUGGAAGCUUGCUUCUAUCAAUCUUAGUGGCGAACGGGUGAGUAACGCGUAAUCAACCUGCCCUUCAGAGGGGGAUAACAGUUGGAAACGACUGCUAAUACCGCAUACGAUCUAAUCUCGGCAUCGAGGAUAGAUGAAAGGUGGCCUCUACAUGUAAGCUAUCACUGGAGGAGGGGAUUGCGUCUGAUUAGCUAGUUGGAGGGGUAACGGCCCACCAAGGCGAUGAUCAGUAGCCGGUCUGAGAGGAUGAACGGCCACAUUGGGACUGAGACACGGCCCAGACUCCUACGGGAGGCAGCAGUGGGGAAUCUUCCGCAAUGGACGAAAGUCUGACGGAGCAACGCCGCGUGAGUGAUGACGGCCUUCGGGUUGUAAAGCUCUGUUAAUCGGGACGAAAGGCCUUCUUGCGAAUAGUGAGAAGGAUUGACGGUACCGGAAUAGAAAGCCACGG